UGCAUCGGCCGGGAAUCGAACCCGGGGCGGCCGUGUGGCAGGCGAGCAUUCUAACCACUGAACCAAAAGC
rnacentral:tRNA from 1 species